rnacentral:snoRNA from 1 species
UCAACGUGGGUAUCCUGUGAGGUUGCUCUCAUGGGCUCUGCCCAGGUGGCGUAUGGGAGCGUAGUGUCUUCAGGCGCUGUGACGUAUAUUCCCCUUCCACAACGUUGUAGAGCAUGCGUGUCCCCGGGCCCUUUGGUCUGGUGUGGACAGCGUCCUGUAUAUUCCUAAAACUUCCUAGAGCCUUUGGGCAGUGACUGGGGAGACAAACCAUGCAGGAUACACAU